ACGCUUGAUCCAGUCCACCAACUGUUCUUCCACCCU
rnacentral:scRNA from 1 species